CUUUUAAAGGAAACGAGCCCUCCGCUGGCCUUAGGAGCCACCACCCU
rnacentral:tRNA from 1 species